CGGACGGGUGAGUAAUGUCUGGGAAACUGCCCGAUGGAGGGGGAUAACUACUGGAAACGGUAGCUAAUACCGCAUAAUGUCUACGGACCAAAGCGGGGGACCUCCGGGCCUCGCGCCAUCAGAUGAACCCAUAUGGGAUUAGCUAGUAGGUGAGGUAACGGCUUACCUAGGCGACGAUCCCUAGCUGGUCUGAGAGGAUGAUCAGCCACACUGGGACUGAGACACGGCCCAG
rnacentral:rRNA from 1 species